CACAUCUCCCAGUGGCAUUUUUGUGAUUUGCAGCUAGUAGUCUGGGUCCAGUUGCAUAGUCACAAAAAUGAUCAUUGGCAGGUGUG
rnacentral:pre_miRNA from 8 species